rnacentral:rRNA from 1 species
CUCCGGUUGAUCCUGCCGGACCCGACUGCUAUCAGAGUGGGGCUAAGCCAUGCGAGUCAACGUAGUAAUACGUGGCGUACGGCUCAGUAACACGUAGUCAACAUGCCCAAGGGACGUGGAUAACCUCGGGAAACUGAGGAUAAACCGCGAUAGGUCAAGAUUUCUGGAAUGGAUCAUGGCUGAAAUCUAUAUGGCCCUUGGAUUGGACUGCGGCCGAUCAGGCUGUUGGUGAGGUAAUGGCCCACCAAACCUAUAACCGGUACGGGCUCUGAGAGGAGGAGCCCGGAGAUGGGCACUGAGACAAGGGCCCAGGCCCUAUGGGGCGCAGCAGGCGCGAAACCUCUGCAAUAGGCGAAAGCUUGACAGGGUUACUCUGAGUGAUUCCCGCUAAGGGAGUCUUUUGGCACCUCUAAAAAUGGUGCAGAAUAAGGGGUGGGCAAGUCUGGUGUCAGCCGCCGCGGUAAUACCAGCACCCCGAGUGGUCGGGACGAUUAUUGGGCCUAAAGCAUCCGUAGCCGGUUCUGCAAGUCUUCCGUUAAAUCCACCUGCUUAACAGAUGGGCUGCGGGGGAUACUACAGGGCUAGGAGGCGGGAGAGGCAAGCGGUACUCAGUGGGUAGGGGUAAAAUCCUUUGAUCCACUGAAGACCACCAGUGGCGAAGGCGGCUUGCCAGAACGCGCUCGACGGUGAGGGAUGAAAGCUGGGGGAGCAAACCGGAUUAGAUACCCGGGUAGUCCCAGCUGUAAACGAUGCAGACUCGGUGAUGGGCUGGCUUCGCGCCAGCCCAGUGCCGCAGGGAAGCCGUUAAGUCUGCCGCCUGGGGAGUACGGUCGCAAGACUGAAACUUAAAGGAAUUGGCGGGGGAGCA